CGGAGGGAAACCGAGUCUUAACCGGGCGUUAAGUUGCAGGGUAUAGACCCGAAACCCGGUGAUCUAGCCAUGGGCAGGUUGAAGGUUGGGUAACACUAACUGGAGGACCGAACCGACUAAUGUUGAAAAAUUAGCGGAUGACCUGUGGCUGGGGGUGAAAGGCCAAUCAAACCGGGAGAUAGCUGGUUCUCCCCGAAAGCUAUUUAGGUAGCGCCUCGUGAAUUCAUCUCCGGGGGUAGAGCACUGUUUCGGCUAGGGGGCCAUCCCGGCUUACCAACCCGAUGCAAACUGCGAAUACCGGAGAAUGUUAUCACGGGAGACACACGGCGGGUGCUAACGUCCGUCGUGAAGAGGGAAACAACCCAGACCGCCAGCUAAGGUCCCAAAGUCAUGGUUAAGUGGGAAACGAUGUGGGAAGGCCCAGACAGCCAGGAUGUUGGCUUAGAAGCAGCCAUCAUUUAAAGAAAGCGUAAUAGCUCACUGGUCGAGUCGGCCUGCGCGGAAGAUGUAACGGGGCUAAACCAUGCACCGAAGCUGCGGCAGCGACGCUUAUGCGUUGUUGGGUAGGGGAGCGUUCUGUAAGC
rnacentral:rRNA from 1 species